CAGUCGCCGCGGUAAUACGUAGGGUGCGAGCGUUAAUCGGAUUUACUGGGCGUAAAGCGUGCGCAGGCGGCCCGUUAAGGCAGGUGUGAAAUCCCUGGGCUCAACCUAGGAAUUGCGCUUGUGACUGGCGGGCUCGAGUACGGUAGAGGGGGGUGGAAUUCCUGGUGUAGCAGUGAAAUGCGUAGAGAUUAGGAGGAACACCGAUGGCGAAGGCAGCCCCCUGGGCCUGUACUGACGCUCAUGCACGAAAGCGUGGGGAGCAAACAGGAUUAGAUACCCCCGUAGUCCCUGUCUCUUAUAC
rnacentral:rRNA from 1 species